ACCUGGCUCAAUCUGCAGACUUCUAUAUAGCUCUGCGUGGCUUGUACACUCUGAUCCUGAUGUGCUUCCUCUGUGUGUUCAGCUCUGAUUUCCUGUUCUCUUUCUUUCCCCAUCUUCAAUUUCAAGUCAAUUUCGUCAAUUUCAUGCUCAAUUCCUUUCCUGUUCGUUGAAUCAAUUUCUUCGAUUUCACUCUCAAUUUCUUUCUCAAUUUCACGUCUUCUUCUUCGAUUCCAAAACUCUCAUCUUUCUUCUGUGAUUGUUAGACAAAUUCCUCUUCUGAGGUUUCUUUGACAUUCUAUUUUUCUGCAUCAAUGGCGGCUUCGUCUCUCAAAAUUGAAGGAUUGCUAGGAAUGGUUACUCUACGUCUGAAAGAUUAUAAUUUCUUGAAAUGGCGGUAUCAGCUUGAAUCUGUCCUGGAAGGUUAUGAUCUUUUCGGCCAUUUCGAUGGAUCUACCAUUGCUCCCCCAAAAGUUGCUAUUUUGGAUGAAGAAGGAGUCAUCUCAAAGGUUACAGCGGAUAAGGAGUGGCUUCGGGCUGAUAAAGCGUUAUUGAGCUUUCUGAUUGCAACACUCUCGGACGACCCGAUUGAAUAUGUUAUCGGCAGUAAAACGGCUCAUGAUGCUUGGUUGAGCCUCUCCGAUCGCUAUGCCACCGUGUCUCGUGCUCGAAUCAAUCAUCCCAAGACUGAGUUAUCGAUAAAUUUCUCCUGCGUCUAUACAUAUCAAGGAUCAGUUGUCUGUUAUUGGAGUUUCAAUUUCGGAUGAUCAUCUCAUGAUUGCAGCCCUCAAUGGAUUACCUUUCAGCUCUUCAUACUCCUAUGGUGGCCAUGAUUGGUCAUACUUCUUCUGGCUCUCUCAAUGCAGGCGCUGGUAUCCUUCCCACUCCCUCGACUGUUCCUAUAUCUCCUUCUGGUCUUCAUGCCAAUGCUCAGCCCUCUAGUUCUAUGUCUAAUUCUUUCGGCAGAGGACGGUUUUCUGGUAAUCGAUCUUUUCCUCCUCGUGGAGGUUUUCAAGGCUCCAGACCGUCUCAUGAUGUUUUCCAAAGAUUGGUGUUGUGCCAGAAUGCCAAAUUUGCAACAAGUGUGGAUAUACUGCUGUCAACUGCUACUGUAGGAAUGUUUCUCCUUAACACUCAGCCUCAUCAUCUGUUAUUGAGUGUCAAAUCUGUGGGAAACGUGGCCAUGGUGCUUUGGAUUGCUUUCAUCGCUCAAACGACGUGUAUCAAGGUUCCUCUCCUCCUAAAUCUGUCAUUGCAAUGACAACUCAAACCUCGUUUUCUCCUGAAACAUUCUGGAUAGCUGAUAGUGGUACCAGUCAUCACAUGGUGCUGUUGAUCAAUUGGAUUCUGUAAAUCCAUGUACUUUUCUGCAGAUCAAGUUAUUAUUGGCAAUGGGGACAAAGCAACAAACCAAGUUCUUCUCAGGGGCAGGAGCAAUAAAGGCAUAUAUCCUAUACCUAGUGCAGUUUCUCCAGUCAAUUCUUCUUCUCUAGCUGAAGGUUCUUUUUCUCCAGCUACUGCUUAUGUGGGCCAACAAAUCAAAUCAUCUAUGUGGCAUAAUAGGUUAGGGCAUUCCACUAAUGAGGUAGUUCAGACUAUGCUUAAAACCUCUCAAUUACCAGUUCUUGUAGAUGCUCAUCAGCAUAUUUGCCCUUACUGUUUAAGUGGUAAAAUGCACACCUUACCCUUUCCAUCUACUCAUGUUAAGUCUUUAGUGCCAUUUCAAAGAAUCCAUAGUGAUCUUUGGGGACCCUCUCCGUGUAAAUCCUAUGAUGGAUACAGAUAGGUAGUGACCUUUAUUGAUGAGUUUACUGGAUAUUCUUGGAUAUUUCCAUUAUUCAAUAAAUUUAAGACCUUCUCAAAGUU